rnacentral:rRNA from 1 species
CCUACGGGGGGCAGCAGUGGGGAAUAUUGCACAAUGGGGGAAACCCUGAUGCAGCGACGCCGCGUGAGUGAAGAAGUAAUUCGUUACGUAAAGCUCUAUCAGCAGGGAAGAAACACUGACCUUACGGUCAGCAGACGGUACCUGAGUAAGAAGCCCCGGCUAACUACGUGCCAGCAGCCGCGGUAAGACGUAGGGGGCAAGCGUUAUCCGGAUUUACUGGGUGUAAAGGGAGCGUAGACGGCAGCGCAAGUCAGGAGUGACAUGCCGGGGCGCAACCCCGGAACUGCACUGGAAACUGUGAGGCUGGAGUGCAGGGGAGGUAAGCGGAAUUCCUGGUGUAGCGGUGAAAUGCGUAGAUAUCAGGAGGAACACCGGCGGCGAAGGCGGCUUACUGGACUGUAACUGACGUUGAGGCUCGAAGGCGUGGGGAGCAAACAGGAUUAGAUACCCCUGUAGUC